GUAGGUGGCAAGCGUUGUCCGGAAUUAUUGGGCGUAAAGCGCGCGCAGGGCGGUCCUUUAAGUCUGAUGUGAAAGCCACGGCUCAACCGUGGAGGGUCAUUGGAAACUGGGGGACUUGAGUACAGAAGAGGAAAGCGGAAUUCCAAGUGUAGCGGUGAAAUGCGUAGAGAUUUGGAGGAACACCAGUGGCGAAGGCGGCUUUCUGGUCUGUAACUGACGCUGAGGCGCGAAAGCGUGGGGAGCAAACAGGAUUAGAUACCCUGGUAGUCCACGCCGUAAACGAUGAGUGCUAAGUGUUAGGGGGUUUCCGCCCCUUAGUGCUGCAGCUAACGCAUUAAGCACUCCGCCUGGGGAGUACGGCCGCAAGGCUG
rnacentral:rRNA from 1 species